AUGGACGAAAGUCUGAUGGAGCAACGCCGCGUGAGUGAAGAAGGAUUUCGGUUCGUAAAACUCUGUUGCAAGGGAAGAACAAGUAGCGUAGUAACUGGCGCUACCUUGACGGUACCUUGUUAGAAAGCCACGGCUAACUACGUGCCAGCAGCCGCGGUAAUACGUAGGUGGCAAGCGUUGUCCGGAAUUAUUGGGCGUAAAGCGCGCGCAGGUGGUUCCUUAAGUCUGAUGUGAAAGCCCCCGGCUCAACCGGGGAGGGUCAUUGGGAACUGGGGAACUUGAGUGCAGAAGAGGAUAGUGGAAUUCCAAGUGUAGCGGUGAAAUGCGUAGAGAUUUGGAGGAACACCAGUGGCGAAGGCGACUGUCUGGUCUGUAACUGACACUGAGGCGCGAAAGCGUGGGGAGCAAACAGGAUUAGAUACCCUGGUAGUCCACGCCGUAAACGAUGAGUGCUAAGUGUUGGGGGGUUUCCGCCCCUCAGUGCUGCAGCUAACGCAUUAAGCACUCCGCCUGGGGAGUACG
rnacentral:rRNA from 1 species